rnacentral:lncRNA from 1 species
CACUCCCAGGGAGAGGGGUCUGGGGAGAGGUCUGGGAAGGGGGCACUGGGGCACCCUGAGACUCCCACUGGUGUCUUACUGUGUUUCCCUGUCAGUUCAGCUCCCCCCACCCCCCCCACCCCGCCAAGACCAUUUCAUCACCCCCUCAAGUGCAAGAGUGAAUUAAAACUCCAAGGAGACCUGAGAGGGACGCCUCUGUCACACCCUUUCUCUGGCUGCCUUGGGGGACGAGGGUGGCCUGGAGGAACAAUAGCUUCUCUUAGCCCCUUCUCCCUGGCUCAGGGAGAACAGCAAGAGAAAGAAAGAGAGGCAAACCAAAUUCCUGAAUGGAUAGAUGGAUGCUACGUCAUCGGAGCUGCAGCCUGCACUCCACAAGAGGCUAGGGGCCGGGAGAGGCAGUCCAGCCGCAGGGGCCACCCGACCAGGCUCUCCUCCCCGCGGGCGCCGGGAGCCGGGCACCCAGGAAGCAGCAGCCUUGUUUGUCCUCGGCGGACAGGCGUCAUGGAUGUCCUCGCAGGGAAUUUCCUGAUCUUGUUUUCUUCGGUUUGGGAAGUCCUUCCCAAUGGCUCACCCAGAUCUGUCCAGCUGCAAGCACCACCAGGUCACUGACCCCUGGUUUGACGUGGCUGCCUUGAGAGGUAAGGAGGGGCCUGCCCGCUUCGGUCACUUUAUGGAGGCUCCCGGACGCCAGCGGUGGGGACAGGGAAGCUGAGACUUGGCUGGCUCGGUGAGAGUCCGGUGCCCCGUAGAGACUCGGAGGCCUUCACUCAAACCUUUUGUCUGGAGGUGCCAGUGCCAGAACGUGCUUGGAGUCGCCUCUCCCUGCCCCCAUCAGCACCCCAAAAAAGAGGCAGCAGCCAGAGACCUCCCAGUUCCGUGGGGGACCUGGGAGCCAGCUGGCCCCUCCCACCAUCGGGGAGGGUCCAGCGGGGUCUCCGAGGGAUCCUGGGAUGGCGAGUGUCGCCUCCUUCGGGAGCCCAACCAGAGAAUGGUCACCUUGACCUAGCGCAACGUCUCCAAGGGGCGCUGAAGAGGGGCCAGCUUUGCGAGGGGAAUCCUGAAUGAGGAGCAGGUGGGCAGAGAAAGGCGGCCAUUCUCCACUGAGGAGGGCCCGCCAGGAAGGGCGGGCUCGGGGUAAUUUAUGACAUCAUUGUUCCCC